CCGCCCCGGUCAAGACUCUCCAGCUCCUCCUCCUUUAAGACUCCGCCUACCUUCCCCAGUGCGCAAGCGUCGCGAGGCGGUAUCAGGGCCCGGGGAUUUGAGCGGAAGGCGGGGCCAGAGUGGAAAGAGGCGGGAACUCGGAGGGGGUCGCGUGCAGCGCGCAAAAGUUCGCGCUGAGGUGCGAGGCCAGAAUGAAGGAAGGCAGCUGAGAUCCAGGGACCGGGUGGGUGGAGCAGCAACAGGCAUUUCACAACUGAAACCUAGAUGUGCAGUUUGUGGAUUACAGAUGACUUUGCUCUUACUUUCUUUUUUAGCCAACUCUCAGCUAAAAGACUUUUUAAAGAACUUUUUACUUGUGUUUUUGUUUUAUUUAAUUUUUUUUUUUUUGAGAUAGGGUCUCGCUCUGUAGGAUUGGCUGACCUGCCACUCUCUUUGUUGACAGGCUGGCCUUAAAUUCAAAGAGAUCCAUGUCUAAGAAGCCUAGCCUGCAAAUGCUAAAGUAUUUUUCUAGGGUACACCUUUAACCUCAGAACUCAGGAGGCAGAGGCAGGAGGAGCUCUGUGAAUUUAAGGCCAGCUUGGUCUUUAUACUGAGUUCAAGGUCAGCCAGAGUUACAAGGUGAUACUAUGUCUCAAAAAGUAAAUAAAUUAGCAUUUAAAAUGAUAACCAAAGAGCCAUUCUUUCUGAGAAAGGCGGAAGGGGUGUGUGUGUGUGUGUGUGUGUGUGUGUGUGUGUGUGUGUGUGUGUGUCCCAAUGGAGAGGAAGCUGAUUCUGUGACAAUUUCUUGGCAAAGCCAUCUGGGUCCCCAGUCUGGUUCAUGUCUUAGCUCCCAUGGACCAAAAGUGAUUCUAGAGUUGGGUAGAAUUGCCUCAGAGCAUGUUGGCCCUGGAAGAAAAUGGUCAUCUUUGUGUUGAAGUUGUGGGCAAUGGGAUAUUUGUUAUUGUUUCAUUCUUUGAUUGCCUUAAAUUAAAGGAACUAUUUUAUUACUGAAUCAAGCUCUCAAAAUCAGAAGCAGACCGCCUCCUCUGGACACAAGAGAUCAACCCAGUGACCCUGUGGGUCAUGAGGAUUUCACAGAAAAGCAGAGAGAAAGAAAAAGAUAGCGGCUUGGGAAAGACGUGUGGGGAAGAGGUGCAGAAAGAGAUGAUUACGGGGAACGGACAUCUGUUUCAGCUUCCUUGCAAUUGAGACUAAUCCUUACAGUUUAACCAGACUCUGCCCAGGAUACGGGAGAGGGCUCCUCCGGGUAUGGAAUAUGUGCCGGCAGCUUGUCCAGUCCCCGGUCUGAAUCCCCAGUGAUCUGGAGGGCCAUCAGAGGUCCUAUCACCAUCUGUAGCUCUGUGCAAUGAGACUUCCAUUUCACUGUGAGGACCACACCGCCCACCUGAGAUAUGAUCCCUCCAGCCUCCGCACAAAGGGCUUUGAUUUGGUGUGGAGCUGAUUAAGCGAUUGUGGAUGUCCUUGGAAGCACUACGUGCGGUGCCCUUUUGUAGAAUUCUCCAGGCAGCACAGAAUCAAGGAAACAAGACAGCACAGCUGUCUCAGCCAGAUCACCGCUGCUUGCCAGUUGAACAAACUCUCUGACCUUGGAGCCAGUUUCUUUACAUUUCGACAAGAGUACUUGGUUGCAGGAGCCAUGCCAACUCUGGUUCUAUCCACCGGAACUGGAAUUUCCUGAAGAAAUACUGACAGGAUCUCAAGAGGCUGAUUUGGAAAUUCAGCUGGAAACCAAAGGCUGGUGUAAAAAGAAUCACCCUCAGACGGUGUGGGGCUGAGGUCCAGCCUCAAGGCAUUGCUACUAAAUGCCACCCUCAGGCUCAUCAACCUACAGAGGAUACCUAAUCUCCCCUCCGUUUUUUGUGCUUUAUAUUGCAAACCCCAAGUCCCCAGGGGGUUACACCCAUCUGGGCAACCCCCUUCUGAGACACUGCUAAGAAGGGAGCACUGAGGAGAGGCCUCCCUGCUGCAGCGUGUGAUGCAAAUUGCACAAACUUCUGUUCCUAAAUGAUGUCCAUGGAAAGGGUCUCACAGGAGGCAGGGCCACUGCCUUCCCUGUCUCCUUGGUGAAAUGGACUGUGCAAGGCGGGGUAAGACAAAGCAUUGAACAGCGCGUUUGUUCAAAAGCUCUUGGCAUAUAAAAGGUAUUCUGUCAUCUUACUCCCCUCUUUAAUAAAACAAAAGGCUGGGAAUGAUGUA